rnacentral:rRNA from 1 species
CGAAGCAUUUAAGGACGAUUCUUCGGAUGAGGACUUUUAUGACUGAGUGGCGGACGGGUGAGUAACGCGUGGGUAACCUGCCCUAUACAGGGGGAUAACAGUUAGAAAUGACUGCUAAUACCGCAUAAGCGCACUAGAACCGCAUGGUUCGGUGUGAAAAACUGAGGUGGUAUAGGAUGGACCCGCGUCUGAUUAGCUUGUUGGUGGGGUAACGGCUCAUCAAGGCGACGAUCAGUAGCCGGCCUGAGAGGGCGACCGGCCACAUUGGGACUGAGACACGGCCCAAACUCCUACGGGAGGCAGCAGUGGGGAAUAUUGCACAAUGGGGGAAACCCUGAUGCAGCGACGCCGCGUGAGUGAAGAAGUAUUUCGGUAUGUAAAGCUCUAUCAGCAGGGAAGAAAAUGACGGUACCUGACUAAGAAGCCCCGGCUAACUACGUGCCAGCAGCCGCGGUAAUACGUAGGGGGCAAGCGUUAUCCGGAUUUACUGGGUGUAAAGGGAGCGUAGGUGGCAUGGUAAGCCAGAAGUGAAAACCCAGGGCUCAACUCUGUGGAUUGCUUUUGGAACUAUCAAGCUAGAGUGCUGGAGGGGUAAGCGGAAUUCCUAGUGUAGCGGUGAAAUGCGUAGAUAUUAGGAGGAACACCGGUGGCGAAGGCGGCUUACUGGACAGAAACUGACACUGAGGCUCGAAAGCGUGGGGAGCAAAC